rnacentral:lncRNA from 1 species
GGGAGACUUGGCUGUCCACACACACAUCCCACACUGUCAUUAAGCCCUCUUGGCAUGACAGCAGCUACAGUUCAUUAUCCUGGGUGGUAGCUGGAGAGGCGGGGAGCUCUAUUCUUUGCAUUUUCUUUGGGAAAAAAGUGUCUUUUAAAUGUUCGUUUGCAACACAACACAGGCAGCUAAAUGGAAGAGGAUGUGGUCUGGUGAUUCGUGAAGGAACCCAAACGAGGAGGGGCUGUGCUCAAUUUCUGACAGCCCAGUGAUUUAUUAAAAAAAAAAAAAAAAGACACCCCCCCCCCCCACAACCAAAUGGAUACUUGCACUGGCCUGAGGAGUAUAAGAAUUUCUCAGUGGACUUUUAGGCUCAUUGCAUGUCUGCAACUCUCAGAAUGCACCGUGUGCUGUGCUUCUAGAACAAGGUACACACAGCUGCCCACUGAACAGCUGUACACCAAGACAGAGAUACCAGCUUGGGCAAGUGGCUCGGAUGCUCUGUGAAGUUCUAUUCCCGCAAGAUGGUGCAUGGGGCCAAAAUACCUUUCUCAUGAUCUAAUGGACUUGGGGAAAUGCUUCCUCUUGGUGAUUCACAGUGGACAUUUAUAUACUCACAGCUUUUAGAAACCUGGCAUGAGUGAAACCUAUUUCCUUUUGAUUUAAAAGCAUUUCCUGUCUUUUUUUUUUUAACCGUGGAGUUUUCCUGUCCUCCUUUUAUCCUCAAAGAAUACCUGUCCCUGGAACAAAGCUUGGCCUUUGCCCUCGGAUAUAUAAAUAUAUAUCAAAAUAAAAACAAG